UACGUAGGUGGCAAGCGUUGUCCGGAAUUAUUGGGCGUAAAGCGCGCGCAGGUGGUUUCUUAAGUCUGAUGUGAAAGCCCACGGCUCAACCGUGGAGGGUCAUUGGAAACUGGAGAACUUGAGUGCAGAAGAGGAAAGUGGAAUUCCAAGUGUAGCGGUGAAAUGCGUAGAGAUUUGGAGGAACACCAGUGGCGAAGGCGACAUUCUGGUCUGUAACUGACACUGAGGCGCGAAAGCGUGGGAGCAAACAGG
rnacentral:rRNA from 1 species